GACGAACCGUGCGAACGUUAUUCGGAAUCACUGGGCUUAAAGGGCGCGUAGGCGGGCUCGCAGGUCAGGGGUGAAAGCCCACGGCUCAACCGUGGAAGUGCCUUUGAUACCGUGAGUCUCGAGGGAGGUAGGGGCGUGCGGAACUUCCGGUGGAGCGGUGAAAUGCGUAGAUAUCGGAAGGAACAUCGGUGGCGAAAGCGGCGCGCUGGACCUCUUCUGACGCUGAGGCGCGAAAGCCAGGGGA
rnacentral:rRNA from 1 species